AUCUUCACGGUGACGCCGCGCCCUGUCUAAAAUCCCGCCUCUUUCAGCCAGUCGCCCUUAAGGUGCAGGCUGGGGCUGCGCGAAUAUCCGGUGGGGACUUUGGUUUUACGGUUGGUGCGGGGAAUG
rnacentral:sRNA from 1 species